UACGUAGGGUCCGAGCGUUGUCCGGAUUUAUUGGGCGUAAAGAGCUCGUCGGCGGCUCAGUAAGUCGGAUGUGAAAACUCGGGGCUCAACCCCGAGACGCCAUCCGAUACUGCUGUGGCUUGAGUCUGGUAGGGGAACACGGAAUUCCUGGUGUAGCGGUGAAAUGCGCAGAUAUCAGGAGGAACACCAAUGGCGAAGGCAGUGUUCUGGGCCAGUACUGACGCUGAGGAGCGAAAGCGUGGGUAGCAAACAGG
rnacentral:rRNA from 1 species